GCGGGUGUAGCUCAAGUGGCAGAGUGCAUGCUUAGCAUGCAUGAGGUCCUGGGUUCAAUCCCCAGUACUUCCU
rnacentral:tRNA from 1 species